UACGAGAGGCCCAAACGUUAUUCGGAUUUACUGGGCUUAAAGAGUUCGUAGGCGGUGCAGAUAGUGGGGUGUGAAAGCCCUCGGCUCAACCGAGGAAUUGCGCUCCAAACUACUGUGCUAGAGGAACCUAGAGGUGAGCAGAACAGAUGGUGGAGCGGUGAAAUGCGUUGAUAUCAUCUGGAAUACCGGAGGCGAAGGCGGCUCACUGGGGGUUUUCUGACGCUGAGGAACGAAAGCCAAGGGUAGCGAACGGG
rnacentral:rRNA from 1 species